AUUUUAGAACGACUUUUUCCU
rnacentral:miRNA from 1 species